rnacentral:rRNA from 1 species
UACGUAGGCAGCAAGCGUUGUUCGGAGUUACUGGGCGUAAAGCGUGCGCAGGCGGUUUGUUGUGUCUGAUGUGAAAGCCCCGGGCUUAACCUGGGAAUGGCAUUGGAAACUGGCAGCUGGAGUGUGGCAGAGGGGGGUGGAAUUCCGCGUGUAGCAGUGAAAUGCGUAGAGAUGCGGGAGGAACACCGAUGGCGAAGGCAGCCCCCUGGGCCAACACUGACGCCUCAGGCACGAAAGCGUGGGGAGCAAACAGG